rnacentral:rRNA from 1 species
GACGAACGCUGGCGGCGUGCUUAACACAUGCAAGUCGAACGGUGAAGCGCCUUCCUUUUUGGUGGGUGUGGAUGAGUGGCGAACGGGUGAGUAACACGUGAGUAACCUGCCCCCUUCUUCUGGAUAACCGCAUGAAAGUGUGGCUAAUACGGGAUAUUCUGGGUCUGUCGCAUGAUGGGUCUGGGAAAGAUAUUGUUUCGGUGGGGGAUGGGCUCGCGGCCUAUCAGCUUGUUGGUGGGGUGAUGGCCUACCAAGGCGGUGACGGGUAGCCGGCCUGAGAGGGUGGACGGUCACACUGGGACUGAGACACGGCCCAGACACCUACGGGAGGCAGCAGUGGGGAAUAGUGCACAAUGGGCGCAAGCCUGAUGCAGCGACGCCGCGUGAGGGAUGGAGGCCUUCGGGUUGUGAACCUCUUUCGCCAGUGAAGCAGGCCUGCCUCGUUUGUGGGUGGGUUGACGGUAGCUGGAUAAGAAGCGCCGGCUAACUACGUG